rnacentral:misc_RNA from 1 species
GAUGAAGAACGUAGCGAAAUGCGAUACUUGGUGUGAAUUGCAGAAUCCCGUGAACCAUCGAGUUUUUGAACGCAAGUUGCGCCCGAAGCCUCGGCUAAGGGCACGUCUGCCUGGGCGUCACGCAUCGCGUCUCCCCCAAACCGCCAAGGCGGAGGGGAAGGAAGAUGGCUUCCCGUGCCUCACCCGGGCGCGGUUGGCCUAAAUUUGGAGCCCGCGGCACUUAGCUCUCGCGGCGAUAGGUGGUGAACAAGGCCUUGGCCGUGCAAACAACCCGCUGCGAAGCUCUAUGUCACGUGCGCUCGUCGGACCCUUUGAAGUUGCCUUCGGUGACUUAAAACCUUUGCGACCCCAGGUCAGGCGGGGCUACCCGCUGAAUUUAAGCAUAUCAAUAAGCGGAGGA